rnacentral:rRNA from 1 species
GGGCGCUWKYCUGAACCRSCCNNGUAGCGUGAAGGAUGAAGGCUCUAUGGGUCGUAAACUUCUUUUAUAUAAGAAUAAAGUGCAGUAUGUAUACUGUUUUGUAUGUAUUAUAUGAAUAAGGAUCGGCUAACUCCGUGCCAGCAGCCGCGGUAAUACGGAGGAUCCGAGCGUUAUCCGGAUUUAUUGGGUUUAAAGGGAGCGUAGGUGGACUGGUWWKUYWGUUGUGAAAGUUUGCGGCUCAACCGUAAAAUUGCAGUUGAUACUGUCAGUCUUGAGUACAGUAGAGGUGGGCGGAAUUCGUGGUGUAGCGGUGAAAUGCGUAGAGAUCUGGAGGAAUACC